UGCGUAGGCGGCCCGGGAAGUUGGGUGUGAAAGCCCUCGGCUCAACCGAGGAAUUGCGCCCAAAACUGCCGGGCUAGAGGAAGACAUAGGUGAGCGGAACUUAGGGUGGAGCGGUGAAAUGCGUUGAGAUCCUAAGGAACACCAGUAGCGAAAGCGGCUCACUGGGGCUUUUCUGACGCUGAAGCACGAAAGCUAGGGGAGCGAAGAGGAUUAGAUACCCUCGUAGUCCUAGCCGUAAACGAUGAGCACUGGUUUGGAGGGUCCUCCAUAGCCUUCCAGACGUAGCGAAAGUGUUAAGUGCUCCGCCUGGGGAGUAUGGUCGCAAGGCUGAA
rnacentral:rRNA from 1 species